rnacentral:tRNA from 1 species
GGGGAUUUAGCUCAGUGGUAGAGCACUUUUCUAGGAAGCGCAAGGCCCUGGGUUCGAUCCCCAGCUCCG